GGGAGCAGACAUUUCAAGAACUGAUGCAGCAGGAGAAACCUCGGGCCAGGUGGACUCUGAAGCUGGAUGGGAAACUCGAGCCAGACUGCCUUGCAGAAGGGUGGAAGCAGUACCAGCAAAAAGGAUUUGGCAGGUACUCUGCCCCAUUGAAGCAGGAUAUAUGGUUUUUCUGGAACUGAGGGGCUUUCCCAGAUGCAGGACUUCCAGGGCUAAAACUGUAAAGUAUCUGGAAAACUGAGGUACCAAAGACCGUUGGACUUGGUUUAUGUUGGGUCUCUGUGGCUUUUACUCUGGGUCUUUCACUGUUGCCUUCCUGAUUCUUCCCAAUUAAGAACUAUGAGAGGACACUCACACCCAAAGCACCCAGCACCGCCAAGAUAGAAAGACCUUGAGCAGAAAAGAAGGCCACAUCUUCUUUCUUGAUAAGAAAUACUGUGGACCCAGCCUGGCAACUGGAUCCUCGCACGGGAAAGCUGCUGUUUCAGAAAAAAGGCCAAGAAUUUGGAUAUAAUGAAAGUUCUGAGAAGUCACAGCUCCAUCUCCAGGGAUGUUAUUCAGCUCCCCUUUUCAUUUUUCCCCUUGAGAACAAAAGCUAGUUUUACAUUUUAAUGGAUUUAAUUACUGCAUAGAGAUCUGAACAGAUAUGAAAGGAACAGACAGUGAGGACACAGUGAUGGUCUAUUGAGCAGCAUUUGAAUUAAUUUGGAGUUUUCAUCCCUGUGAUUAGUGUGAUUAUUAGUGUUAAUACUUGAAGUUCAUGUUAACAGGGUGUUAUUGUGAAUUUGAAGCAUUAAAACAGGGCUGAUUUCCUAGUAUUUGUUUGUUUACUUAUUAAUCAGUCUAUUCACAAUGGCUAUGGUGCUGACAUAUAAAACACCCCCUGCAUUCAACUUCUCAGCUUAACUUAAUAAAGGAUAAUAUUGGGUCUCAUUUAGCCAAUGUUUAAUGCUAAUAAAUUGUCCUUGUCUAUUUUGGUGACUUCCCCACUGUGGGUAUACUUUCCUUUGUCCUUAGACCACUGUGGAGAAGCAGAUAAAGCCUCAGAGCUUCUGGAAACAGCCUUAGUUAGGGUUUGGGAUACCAGGUUUCCUUUGACUUGAGAUUCUUGAGUGAUCCUGAGAAAGCCAUGCCCCCUAUCUGGGCCUCAGUUUUCCCUCAAUAAAAUAAAAGUUUUAGGUGAGAUGAUCCCGGCUUCCCUUCAGCUCUGUGGUUCAGGGAGUGAAUCAAACUGUAGAGAUAACUGGAGAGUUACGGAAAUGUGAAGUUGUGACUAGGAGAAUAUCUAUCCCAAUGCAUUAAUCCUUUAGUUCUGCACUUUUAUUUCAAAGCCCAUAGGUGUGGAUCAUUCUUUUUCUUCUUGUUCCAGGUGCCCUGUAAAUCUCCAAUCUGAGGGUUUAUGUUUUUUUCAACUAUGGAAAAUUGUCAGCCAUUUUCUCACUGAAUAUUGACCCUCUCCCUUCUCUUUGAACCCCCUAAAAGAUGGUAGACUGCAUUCUAGUUAAAGCCCUAAAUCUGUCUUCCAGGCAUUAGUUGUAUCUGCUACUGCAUCUACUCUGUUCUCAGAAUCAUCAAGCUUUCAAAUUCAACAAUUUUUGUUUCUAGGAGUAACAGUUGUUUCUUUCUCAAAUCUGCCUCUUUUUUUUACAUGGAGUCUUAAUGUGUUGUGUAUGUGUACUCUACUUUUUUUUUCUUCGUGAAUUUUAUGAUUUUUGAGUGCGAGCACAUUUUCAAUGACAAUAUGGGAGUGACUAGGAAUUCAAUGCAACGUGGGUUGUGGAAAUAUCACUCUGGAGAAAGCUUUGCAUUUGCUUUUGCUGAGUGCCCCAGAGGUAUCAUGAUCCCAGAAAUAUUUUAUUUUGCUUUAUUUUAUUUUAUUUUUAAAAAAGAUUUUAUUUAUUUAUUCAUGAGAGACACACACAGAGAGAGAGGCAGAGACAUAGGCAGAGGGAGAAGCAGGCUCCAUGUAGGAAGCUCGAUGUAGGACUCAAUCCCGGGACUCUGGGAUCAUGCCCUGAGCCAAAGGCAGACUCUCAACUGCUGAGCCACCCAGGCUUCCCCCCAGAAAUACUUUAAUGUAAAUCUUGAGGCUUAAGGAAUCCUGUAACAUAUAGGUGAUAUAUUCAUUUACUCUAAAUCUUCCUAGGCUGGUGCAGUAGGCUGAAUAAUGACUGCCAAAGAUAUCCAGGCCCUAAUCCCUACAAAUUAUGAAUGUUACCUUAUGGCAAAAAAAAAAAAAAAAAGACGACUCUGGAUAUGUUUAAAUCAAGGAUCUUGAAAUGGGGAUAUUAUCCUGAAUUAUUCAACUGGAUCUUGAGUGUCAUUGAGAUCACAAGUGUCAUUACAAGAGGAGGCAGAGGGAGAUUUGACUACAGAGAGGAGAAGCCGAUAUAGCAAUGGAAGUCGACAUUGGAGUAAAGUGCUUUGAAAAUAAAGGAAGAGGCCACAGACAGAGGAAAGCAAGAGAUGCAGAACUAGAAGCUGGAAAAGGCAGGGAGAUAGAUCAUUCCUUAGAGCCUCCCAAGCAGUCUUGCCAACACCUUGAAUUGAAACUGACUCCAGAAGUGCAAGAGAAUAAAUGUGUGUUAUUUUAAAGCCACUAAGUUGUGGUAAUAUAUUAGAGCAAUAAUGGGAAACAUAGCUGGUUAGCAGAGUUUUUCUAUUCCUCUUUGACUGAGAGCAGUACUUCAAAGAUUUUUCCAAGAAAACUUGACUGGAUUUUCCAUGAAGGCAGAUGGUGAAGAAAAGGCUGGAAAGACAUGGCAUGACAAGAUUCCACAACUCCUAUGACUACAAAUCAGCCUUCAGAGGGGGAUUAAAAAGACAUGGGUUCUUGAUUUUGAGCCCUUUUUACUAGCCAAAUCUAUGCCUCCAAAUGAUAUAACAUAGUUGUCAGGAGUAGUUCAAUAGACAGACGUUGGUAUUUUGUAUUCCAUGUGUCUUAUAAUUUGCCAUUUGGAUAGAAAAGGCAUCUUGGGCAAAAUUUUAAGUUCUAUACUUCAAUUUCUCAUCUGCAAAUGAAACUAAUAAUAGUGCUUCUCUUACAUUAUCAUAGUGAGGCUCCCAAUUAGAUAGGGCACAUGAAAUGUCUGGGUAUAUAUAUGCUUUAUCCUUUGGUAUAGACCCAGGAUUAUUGUCCAAGAACUAUGUAAAGAGAAUUGAAUGACUCAAAGAGAUUCUUAAGAACUUUUGAGGACUCAAAAAGAAAACUCAAAAUGAAGUUUUAUCAUCUUCAAAGUUCUAGAAAACAGAAGAUUCUGUUAAUUUUAGAAGGAGAAAGGGCUGGUUUAAAAUAGAAGAUGCUAACGUGGUUGCUACGUUAUUCAUUCAACAAACAUGUGUCUGUAGGGUGGUACCUAUGUGAAGCUAGAUGCUAAGUGCUGUGAGGGAGACAGCAGCCACAAUCCUCCCAUUUCUAGAGCUGCACUGUUGUUAACAGUUCACAGUAUUGCAGGAGGAUUUCACAGGCAUCCUCUGAGGUGAAGUGUCCAGGAACUACCUACCAGUAUUUUACAGAUGGGGGAACUAACCCUCAGGUUUAAUAAAGUCCAACAAAGUUGGGUCCCAAACCCACCUGCUAAUUCAAUGCCAUUGACACUCUAUCACAGCUAAGAUGAGAUCCCUGAUCUCAAAGUGCUUAGAGAUGAGACAAAGAGGAGAGAGCACUGCAAGGUAAGUAUGACCACCAGAAGGUAUAAAAGCAGAAACAAAUAAGAUCUUUAAGAUCUUUGAGAGGUUAGGAAGACUUGUGAUAUGGAGUAGGGUGAGGGUACCUGGUAAGACAAAACACAGGAAGGCUUGGUUGAGGGACAGAAAAACAUACACAUUUUAAAAUUCUUCACCUUGAAAAAUAAAAACCAAUGACCCAACAACAAAACAAAUGAUUUCUGACCAGGUCAGAAUGUUGCACAACAUGUUUCCAUUCCACAAGCAAUGCUUACGUGCCUACUAUAUGUGUGGGAUUGAUCACAGUGAAUCGGAAGUGACGUCAUUCCACAGAACCAGCCUGAUUGAGGGAGACCUGCGCUCCAGCCCUCACACUGAAUGUGGCCUUGGGUGGUUUGUUUCCCCUUGAGCUUGAGUUUCUUCUUGCAUACGUUGGAAUCUAAACUUCGCUUGCUACUCUGACAGCCUAAAUUUGAAUAAGGAGGAUAUUUAUGUACUCUAUUGUUUUUACUUUCAUUAUUCAUUCUUUCAUCUUAAAUUAUUUGCUUUCUCUCUUUUCCUCAUGUCUUUCUCCUCCUUCUUUUGGGCUGGCUCCUUCCCUGCCCUCCCUCAUGGUUAUUCUCCUUCUCACGUUCAGUGUCUGCAUAUUUUCUUCCUCAUUACCUAAGUACAUGUAAAUUGGCCACAUUACUGAUGCGGAAGCAAUUUUUAAAAUUGGUUAAAAUGUGCCAACGUCAAACAUGACGAAUUCUUCCACUUUUGGACUCCUCAUGAUUUUAAUCAUCCCAAAUCAGCCAUUUAAGAAAUGACAGCAUGAGGACCAAAUUCCCUUAGCAUCAUUUUUUUUUUUUUUUUUUGUCCUUUGGUGGUGUGUGUUGUGUGUGUGUGUGUUUUGUUCACCAAAAUUGUCAGUGGGUUUGGACAUCAUUUAAGUGUAGCAUUGAACACUUGUUGUAUACAGCACUUUCUGAGUAUGUGGAGAAGGGGGAAAUAAAAAAAAAAGAAUAACAUCUAGUCUGUAGUCAAAAUGAUACUUGGGGACUUGGUGAACGAGAGCAUGGAGGCAUGGUUAGAAGUAAAGAAGGAAACCUUGGCUCUAUUAUGCUGGUAUUUUGGCCCCAAACCCAGGAGUGUCUGACUCUUCAGUACAGGGUUCUUGGAUGUUGUUGAGCACACAGUAAACUGUAGCAGCAUGGUCACAAAACUGCCACCUUGCUUACCACUAAGGCCAUGGCCUGAUAAACCCUGAUUAGGAGUUUUCUGUUAAAUGCUGAUUUGGAGAACAUGUGUUAGGCUUAUUAACUGCCUUUCUAAGCACCAAAUAUCUAUCCUGGGUCUCAUACGUUCAAGAAUAUCUUUGUUAAGAGAAAGAAAAGAAUCAGGCCCAAGAGGGACCUUAAAUCUGUUUACUCAAUCAGCCAUAAGUGGAAGCCAAAGACCAACAAAACUGGUCAAUCUGGCCUGGGGCCAAGGCUUUACCUGCAUUUCAGGCAAAAAAACAAAAAAACAAAAAACAGAAAACAAGAAAGAACGCAGCACAAGGUGCUGCUUGUUUAAGGUACAGUAAGCCAAGCCACAGUUAAACUGGACUCAUUAAAUGUUCUAGCUCUGGACAAUCCGUCAAGUCUCCUAUCUUUGGAAGACUAGAGAGGGAGUUUUUCUCACUCCUAAGAGGAAGUAGCACUCCAUCAGUGCAGGAGUUACUGAUCUGAUGUGGCCUCAAUAAAGUUAGAGGAGGAAAAAGAAUAUUGCCUCCUCCAACAGGACCUUGGAUAAGAGACAUUGCUAAUGAAGUGGACAGUUUCAGGAGGAGAAGUGUGCUCAACCCCAUUUCAGGCUAUAUGAGCAAGUUUAGAGAAGUGGGGCAAAGAGCUGUAUCUGGAGAACAUAGUGAGUUACAUUUUUAUAUCUGAAUAAAUGCUCUUAGGAGCAAAGUGGCAAAAAAAAAAAAAAAAAAAAAAAAAAAAAGCAAAGUGGCUUACCCAAGACCAUGUUGGGUAGCACCAAGGCACAAAUAGUCUUCUGAUUCCAGGUCUGGGUUUCCUCUCAUUUCACCACCACUGCAAGGUAAUAGGCACCCAUCAAAGUAAUUGAUAGCAGUAGGACUGCUGACCUGGGAACGGCCUGACCAUGAAAAUGGCCUGACCGUGAAAGAUGAUAUCCCUGUCCUUGGGGAGAGGGCAGGGCAAAGGAAAAAUGAAAAAGCACAGCAAAGUUUUGGAGUAAAAUGAUGGCUUGAAGACUGGGUUUGUCUCACUAGUCCCAUGAUUCUGGGCAAGUCAUUUAACUUCCCUGAUCUUCAAUUUCCUUAUAAGAUAGCAAUACCUCCUUUAAAGUGUCCCUCUUUGGGGCACCUGGGUGGCUCAGUAGUUGAGCAUCUGCCUUUGGUUUGGGUCAUGAUCCUGGGAUUGAGUCCUGCAUCAGGCUCCCUGCAUGGAGCCUGCUUCUCUCUCUGCCUAUGUCUCUGCCUCUCUCUCUGUGUCUCUUAUGAAUAAAUAAAUAAAAUCUUUAAAAAAAUAAAGUAUCUAUCUAAGGACAAGAUGGAAUAAUCUAUAUGAAUAGCAUUUGCCGCAGUAUGUGCUCAGUGAAAAGUACCUUUACUCUUGGUGUCAUUCAUUAACUGAAGCAAUAUAAGAUAUACUAGUUACCUGCUACAAUGAUUUCUAAACCCUCAUGUGGGUAAGAAUCACCUAUAUAGUUUAUUUUAAAAAUGUGGAUUCUCAGUCCCACCCCCUUUAAGAGAUUCUGACAUGGGGCUCUGAAAUAGGAAUUUUAUCAAGUACUCCCGGCGACUCUGGUGAUGUGGUUCAAUGUCACACUUUGGAAAAUAUUGUAUUGGAUUGUAUUUUAAGUUUAAAAUAUGACUUCUCCUGGUUCAUGGCUCUCAGAAAAGUCCUGGUUAGGCUUGCAUUCUGAAGAUUUCCUCGUCUUCUUCCUCACCCUCACCUCCAAGCACAGUGGAGGAAGCAAUAAGCUGCUAUUGUUGUUACCACCACCUUUGGGGAAUAUUCCUUACAGCAGAGGGUCUCAACUUUGGCAGCUUAUUCCAAUUAUGUGGGAAGCCUUCAACCAACCUGGUGUCCAGGCCACACCCCAGACAAACUAAAUCAGAUGUCUGAGCGAUAUUCAGCAUGGGGUUUUUGGAAGCUUGCUAGGGGAUUUCAGUGUAUAGCUAAGUUGAGAACCACUGCUCUAGAUCCUCUGUCCCAAUUUCCCAUCAAAUUUUCUUCACUUAGUUUCCAUCCCAUGCCUUCUAUCUGGAUAGUUCCCUUCUUUCAACAAUUUUGGCUGGAUCCACUCAGCAGAUUUCCUGGUUUUCUUGUCAUUCUUCUUGAUCCACUGAUGCCUCUUACCUGGCUCUAUUUGGUGUUGAUGUCCAACCCACCAUUCUGUCCAAACUUGCAGGACACAACACUGAAGCCCUCAGAUAGUACUACUUUGUCUUGAGGCUGGGGCAGGGAGGACAGAUAGGAUCAUACCAUUGUCUUUCAAACCUCUUUUCCAUUUUCUCUAGAUGUUUUCCCAACCCCUACCUGUUUAUUAUGCCAGAGCUCAUGCAAAGACCUCCUUCUCUGGAAGGCCACCUCUGACUCUCCCAGGUCAAAGAAGAAAGACUCCCUAUUCCUGACUUCUCUAAUACCGUUGAUAUCACAUAUUAUAACAUUCUACCUAUAUAAGGAGGGGGGAAGAUGUUAUGGUGACAAGAGUCAUCAGAACUUCUGGGAAGGAAGCCACUUAUUUGGAAAAAUUAUGACUGCAUGGGGUAGAAGUUUAUACUGAGAGGGAUAUAAAACAGGUCUGAACUACCUUGCUCAAAUGUAAGAGCAAUUGUUGAAUACCCCAGAGAGAAAAAAGGAGGUCAUCCACUCUGUGAUGUGACCCACACCAUGAUUUCCAUAAAAUUUUGAGUAAAAUCUAUAAAUCAUUAUGAGAUACGUCAUAGAAGCAAAUUUUCAGGGCACUGCUAAAAGGCCUACAUCCAGGGUAUUGAGGGAAAGACAGGCCACAUUGCAUGGACAUAAAGACAAGAAAUAGGUAGAAGAUUCUAAUGGACAUUUUAGGAAAGGUUUUAGAUUAUCACAGGUCAUAGACUAUGGGUCAAGGCCAGGUUUCACCAGACCUACAAGGGGCAUAGUAGCCUCACCUGUGAUCUGUAUUCCAUCUGAGCAUCCUCUCUGCCCACUGAACUGGAGUCUUCUGAUGGCAGGGCCUGUCUCUAGGUCUGCAGCUGAGUUUCCCUAAUUCCUGGCACAAUACUUGGCAUAUGUAAUACUUUAAAUAAGUGUCUAGAGAAUGAACAAUACAGAAAGCACAUUAACGUAGGCUUUUCUUAAAGUCAAAGGGAGCACCAAGGAAUUCGUCCUGUCUGUGGCUGUUUUGUUCCUCAGACUGAAUUCAUUUUCGUUCACCACUUAGAUGCUAUUGAACUUGUUUCUCCAAAUUCGGUUGCUCAAAAUUUGAUUAAUUUAAGCUCAAAAUGACAUUUCAAAAUCCCCUAUUCCCAAACACAUAGCUCAUCAGAAAUGCCUCCCACUAUUUACAGUUUUGCUUCAUUGAAAUAUGAUGAUGCCAGGCAGACAGCGAUGUGUAUUCAGUGGAAUUCAAUUUUCCUGAUCACUGGCUCCAUCGAUCAGUCUGUUUGCAAAGGGCUGACGCAAGCAUCAAUUCAUCUCUUAUGGACGAUGGCCAGUAUCUAUGGAGUGCCUACUCUGUACCAGGAAAAGCUCUAGGUGUUACGAGAUACGUUGAUGAAUGACCAGCAUGAUUCCUUAACCAGGUGAAACUUACCGUCUAGGGACAUACAAUUUGUUGGAAAUAUAUAGGGUGGUCAUGAGAAUCAAAUUCUGAGGUUUUGAACAGUGUGGUAAGGGAGUGGGGGAACUCAAUUCAUCACCUGCUAUAGGUAUCUUACAAUGAAAUUUUUAUUUUACCCAGAAUUUGAUCACUGAUGAUAAUUCUUUAAUAUUCACAGUUGACACAAUAGUUUAAUAUUCACAAUCUCAUCUGAAGCAGAAAGACUGAGAAUUAUGACUGCUUUGCAGAUAAGGAAAACAAAAUCGAGAUGCAGGUAAAUCUCAAGAUUGGAAUCCAGAUUUCCUGGAUCCAAAUUAUUGGAAAUAAAGGCGAUGCCAUGUUCUAAAGAUUGGGUUUUGGUGUUUGUUCAUUUUUAGCGAAUAUUUGAAUAAGAAACAUAAUCUCCUUUUCGCACUUUUCAAAAUAUCCAGGUCUCUGGCUUUGGCAAAUUUCAUGUCUGGAUGAUUGUCAGAACUUUUCACUUUUUUUUCUGAGAAUUAGCCAUUAGAGAUAGAGACAUGAUCAGAAAGUCCUCAGUUACAUGAGCAGGAGUCCCCGGAGGCAAGGUUGGCUGGAUAUGGCAUUAGUCUACUGUGAACUUCUUGCAGUGAGGCAACUUGGUCAUGCAUCAGCGUGUUCCCAGCGUCCCUUAUUGUGGAGCUUGCCAAAUGAAGAUGGAUCGGCAGUAAAGUAUGUCAUUCCUCCAUGCCACUCUGGUGGCCACGGCCAGCCCCAGGCCCUGUGACACUGUGCCUCAAAGUAUCUUCCCAAACUGCUCUGUCUCUGUUCUGCCUUUGCUCAGAAGCCUUAGGUGGCUCUCUCUCGCCCACUAAAUUUUGAUCAGAUCCCUCAAUCUGUCAACCAAAGUUCUCCAUAGUCUUUUUGAGGUUUAUUGUGUUCCACUCAUUCAACACCUCCCCCUGGGCACCAUUGACAUCCUGGUCUCCAGCCACAAUACUCACUAUUGCCACAGCACACUUGAUUUUGUACAGAUCCGUAUCUUUGCUCAAGUAGUUUCUUCUGUCUAGAGCACAUUCUGCAAAUACACAUAUAUGUGGAAGUCUAACACAUCCUUAACAAUUUCUACUUCUCCUUGGAUCCUUGACUCAUAAGGAAUCACCUUUCCCCAUGUUCCCACCAUGAGUCCUGAGUUUACUUGGCCUCCAGGACACUUAUCUCAUUCUACCUUGCAUCAGUUACUGAGCUAUAUGGCAGGAGUGUAGGAGUCAGGCUUGUGUACAGCACCAAGGUUUCAAUCACGCUGACCCUGGCUCAGUUUCUGUCACAUAGUUGAUGUUUUAUAAAUGUUUCCUGAAUUCCUGAAAUUAAUCAAUGAUAUCACGUAAGGUAACCAGAAAUGCCAAACUCACCUCUAUAAAGUCAACUUGACCCUGAUGGUUUCCUCCCCUCAAAAAAUGAAUGCAAUGACACAGAAGAGGGGCAAUACGGUCACACUCACAAAGAGUGUGACAAAUAGAACAUGUUAUUUGGCAUCUAUUUUUAGAAACGAAGAAUACUUAGAAACUCAAGAUAGGGCAGUGGAAAUUAAAACUGUCUGUUCAGUAUUGCCAGAAUAUUGCUAAUGCAAAUUAUCUAAUGAUCCCAGAAAUUGGCACAGCCAGGGACAAAAAGUUUUCUCACUUCUAUACUUGUUUACCACAUACUACAAAGUUAAUUUGUAUAUAGCUCUUCUAAACUUUUAUCUUGCUGACUUUCAGUCUCCCAAAUUCAAAAAAAAUAUUGAAUUGCUCCUGACAUCUAGCUGGCUUGAUAUCUGGAGUGCAUGCAUAAUUUAAGCUGAUUGAAUAUUUUGCCACAUUAGAGUGGAAAAUAUCUGAAUCCCCCAAACAGUAAAAGAAAAUGACAGGCUCAAAUGCCACUUGGCAUCACCUUCCGUGAUUUCCGCCAGGUAAUUAGGGCAGUCUAGGCGGCUGAAAUGGAAAUUUGCCUUUAGCUACAGGAUUCACUCAUGAGCACUCAAGGCCCAGGAACAGAUGACUCUGUCUUUAGCUGAUGCAAAGUCUUUUUUCCUUCCUUAGAAGAGAGAUAAAAUAAAAACACUCCUCACAUUAUUUGCUUUUUUUUUUUCUUUUUUAAAUAUGCUUUUUUGAGUUGAUCUUUUUAACCAAAGAAAAGGGGUUUGGAAGAAGCUUUCAUUAGUAGAAUUUGCUUGACUUUGAAGUAAACAAAAACAACAAAAAGACACUCCUAAAGCCCUCCAGGUUUGUCAGAAAAAACAACUAAUGAUGAGCCUUUGACUUCUCUAACCCUAUGUCACUCUCCUACCCACAAGGCACAAAAGUGCUGGUUCUUCCUUUGCUCCCCUCCUGAGAGUUUGAAGACAGAGCGCUCUCCCCUCCCCCCAGUCCCAGUCCCAGCUGUGACUGUAGAAUUGACAGCACCAAGGAGAAAGUCCCCAGGGAGAUGGGAUGUGGCAUUCUGAAAACUAUGGGCAGAAAGGCUGAUGAGCUUCCUGGGUAGCAGUCGUUGGCGGCUGGGCAGGGGUGAGGGGCCAGGGAGAGAAGCCCAGGAUCUGGGAGCAGAUAAGUGCUCUCUGUUGUGGAGCAGGGGCAUCUCAUCAGGCCUCACCCAGCUAGGGUUUUCCUUAGGACUCCCGUUUCUUUUUAUUUUCUUUCCAUGCUCAUCAAUAAGAAUUCUGAUCUUACUUCUGAGAGACCUUGACACUGAGAAUGAGGUGGAGGACAUUAGUAUUCUGGUCCCUGGGAAGGGAUGGCUCCGGUCAAAAACAUGUGCUUUAUUCAGCAAAUUUGUGGAACACUUACCAAGUGCCCUAUACUGGCUGAGCUCUGGGAAUUCAGUGGGAAACUAAGAAAGGCCAUGCCCUCAUGGAGUUUAUAUCCUAGAAGAGGAAGAUGGACAACAAAGGUAUGAACAAGCAAACAAACCAGAUCGAUAUACAUAAUAGUUGUAGAGAAAGUUUUGCUGGGUGGAAACAGUGAAUACAGGAGUAAGCAGUAAAAGGGGGUAGGACAAGUUCCAAUCUGAUGGCCUCUACAGAUGCUAAGAAAAUAGAGUGUGCGAAUCUGAGAAACGGGGAACCAACCAGACCUCUGACCAAAGAUGUUUCCCCUAAGAAUUUCUUGCACCAGCCAGUCCUGGACAACAAUCCCUCAUUCAUCAUCUUUUCUUCCCCUGCGAGAACACUCUUGUUCUCUCAGCUUCCAAGGCAAUUCUCCUGACACAUCCUGUUAGUUCCUGCCCUGGGCUCUCACACCUGCUGUUCUUUUGCCCAGAGUAUCUUUCUUCCCAUCUCUGCCUGAAGAAAUCUCAAGCCCAUCUUUCCAAAUUCAAAUAAAAUAUCCUCUCUCCUGUACCUAUCCCAAACAAAGGUGAAUGCUUCCACAAAAGUUUAUAUAAUUCUAUUAUAACAUAUUUCAAAUUGUGUUUUGUUGUCUCCCUAUUACUGGGGAAUUAGGGAAGGGGGAGGGUUAGGAGGUGACAAACAUUCUUUCCUUGACCAAACUCUGAUUAGACUCCUCUGAAUUCUCCUCUCAACUAGGCUUCUGUGCCCAUCUUUACCUGGUCCAAUUUUAGCAAGAAUCCCCCACUCCCCACGUCUGACGGCCUUUCCUAUUUAAUUAGCUACUUCCUCCUUCCCCAUCCCCCUGGGUGAUCCCCUGACCUGCCACCAGAGACCCCCUUAUUCUCUGAUGCUUUCUCUUAAUAGUUUUCCAUUACCAACCUCCACUCUGCUUCUUAGCUAUAAAUUCCCACUUUUCCUUGUAUUUAGAGUUGAGCCCCAUUGCAGCGAUCCGUACUAAUAUUGUGAUAAUCUCCUCCCUUGAAUAUAGUUUGCCUUACUGUCUUUAACAAGUGUCCUGAUAAUUUUUUCUUUAACAGAGGAAGGAAGGAGGAAGGAGAGAAGAAGGACAAAAGAGGGGAAGGAAGGAGCAGAAGUAGAAGAGAUGCAAGGAGGGAUAGAAGAAUUUAAACUUCAAAAUAAAGUGCCCAUUCCUCUUCUGCCUGCUGGGAUGUGCUGACCAGUGGCUAACCACUCAGCAGGAAUCAGGUUAGAGAUGGAUGGUCAUCCUUUGGGCACCAUACAAACAAGCAAGUCUAGGUUACAAGAAAAGUUCAUUGGAAACUCCGGGCUCAUGGGUGUGACUUUUUGCUUGCAGGCUUUAAUGCUCCUCCAGUGUGAACUCAAGACAGUGUCUGCAAAGCUGCUAUACUCCGUAAUAAAGAUGGGACAAAAAGUUUGAGCUUACCUCAUGGCAUAUCUACUGGAAUUUUGAGGUUAGCAAACGAGAUAUCAGGACAAUCAGAAGGGCAUCCUGUUCAACACUAUCGCGAAUCACUGCCCAUUCAAACCUCACCUAUAAUUUAGGAUGAGACAAAAGAAGACUGCAGUGAAGACUGAGAAGUACCCAUUAUGAAUCUCAUUUUAAAGACGGUGAAACUGUGGCUCACUGAAGACGAAGAAUGUUUUCCAGUUAGCAGCAUAUCCUUGAUAUCCAUGACCAUACCAAAGGAGUGGAGAGAAAUAGAAUAAUUAGGAUUUUCCUGAUUUAUAUGAUUUCCACAAAUCUAUCACCUCUUGAUCAUUUCAGUGGUCUACACUGCAGUGGUGAUAGUGGGAGAAAGUUGGGAAUUUAGGAGGGAAGGAACCAGAGGCAGAUUAGCCUCAUGCAAUGGUAGGAUGACUGUAGCCCCCUAGAUCCACAGCAAUGGUAAUGCUGAUGAAACACGCAGGUCAAGUGUUCCCACUCUUCGUUGUACAGAGGAAAAUGCAGCCCUGCUGGUUGUGUUGCAAGAGUUACGGAAUAAGUUAUCAGCAGAGGGAGAAAGCAGUCCUCAAAAGCCAGAAUGCUUUUCCACAUAGCCUUCUGGGGCUGUUACACCAGGAUUUCCCAUGUAAACUCUCUGCCCAAAAGAAUGUUUGACUGGAUUUCCUCAUAGUGAAUUUCAAACGAUGUUUUAGGUAUUUAUGAGAAGUAUUUAGUCAGAGAUGCCUUCACUGCCCCUUUCCAACAAUAUGAGAUCGACAGCCACUUAAUCCAUCUAUCCAUCCAUCCAAACUAAUCUAACUUGACUGUAAAAACAUAAGCAUUCUAUAUCUCAAUCAGAAGACAAAGUCACGAUCAUCAUCAAUUUCAUCCUUUUUUCCAGUUUGUGCACUGAUUAUAGAUCCUGUGAUAUUAUAUCCAUUGUCCUUGUCAACUCUCAAGCCCAUCAAAUGCCUGCAGAUAAACAUUUGAUCAUACAAGGACCAUAAUUUGCCUCUUUGCAGAAUUCAUUUCAAUUUGAUAAACUUCACAGAUAUUCACUGGGAAUAAAUGUUAUUUUGUUUCCAUAA